rnacentral:rRNA from 1 species
CCUACGGGAGGCAGCAGUGGGGGAUAUUGCACAAUGGGGGCAACCCUGAUGCAGCGACGCCGCGUGAGUGAAGAAGUCUUUCGGUAUGUAAAGCUCUAUCAGCAGGGAAGAAAAUGACAGUACCUGUACAAGUAGCCACGGAUAACUACGUGCCAGCAGCCGCGGGAAUACGCAGGGGGCAAGCGUUAGCCGGAUUUACUGGGUGUAAAGGUAGCGUAGACGGUUAUGUAAGUCUGGGGAGAAAGCCCGGGGCCCAACCCGGGGACUGCAUCGGAAACUGGAUAACUGGAGUACCGGAGGGGCAGGUGGAAGUCCGGGUGUAGCGGUGAUAUGCGU